GCGAAGUGAUGACAAAAAUUCAUUUGUCUGUCAAUCCAUUGAUAUUCUUUGAUGUAAUUCAUGAAUCCCGACAGGUUCUAAUUGC